rnacentral:lncRNA from 1 species
AUGUUUGCUUGUAGUCCAACAAAAACUUGGAAAAAUAAGAGAAUGUCAUCCAGACUUUCAGCGCUUGACUUGAUAAUAUAUUCUUUAAAUUUUUCAGGCGUACAAUAAAUUAAUUGCCAAACAAGAAUUAAAAUUAGAAGAGGACAAAAAGGAUAUGGAACGUGUCUAUCACGAGUUUAAUUCUGCAUACCGUGAAAAAUCUAGAGAGAUCAGAAAAACUAGAGUUGCAACAGCGAAUUUGAUGGAAAACAUUGACAAAGUAAAACUGGUGGAAGCUAAUCUUAGCGACACUCUGUACAAAUCUCUAGAAAAAGAUCGUGUAUCAGCCCAAAAUAGAUCAACUCUUCAGGAGUUACCGAAAGAUUGUCUUUCUCACAGAAUCUGGAAAAAUUCUCUCCCUUGCAAUUAUCACAAGACUUGAAAGAUCAACCCCCCAAAUCUAUCUUGAAGAAAAAGGUAGGUGAAAACAAGGAAAAGCCACCUAAGAAACCGGAAUCCAAAGAAAAUGCAGAUCCUAAGAAAAAGGACCCAUACUUUCCAAACUUGGAUGAAUGAUCUAGCGAUAUCAGAAUAUCAGAAUAUAUAUAAAAUCAGAAACCAAAAGUCUAGAAUUGAUGAAGUGAAAUAAACUUACUAAAUUUUCAAGAAUUAUGAGGCUUUAUGAGGCAAAAACCAAAUGCCUGCGUACAUAGUAUUUUUUAUGAGAAAAAUAAUUAUUAUCUAUCUUUACUUCUUUGAUCACAAAUUUUUAUGUUAAAUUAUUUGGCUCUAAUUUAGUAAUAACGACCUCUUUACGAUCCUUCUUAUGUACAACUUCAAACUUGUGAAGAAUAUUAGAAAUUUUUUUUUUUGUCCCACAUCUGCCUAUUUGGGGUUGAGACACAAACUGGGGUAUGUUACGGCACUAAACCGGCAGGUGCAGG